UACAGAGGGUGCGAGCGUUAAUCGGAAUUACUGGGCGUAAAGCGUGCGUAGACGGUUAUCUAAGUCGGAUGUGAAAGCCCCGGGCUCAACCUGGGAAUUGCAUUCGAGACUGAAUAGCUAGGGUGCGGUAGAGGGAAGCGGAAUUUCCGGUGUAGCGGUGAAAUGCGUAGAUAUCGGAAGGAACAUCAGUGGCGAAAGCGACUUCCUGGACCAGUACCGACGUUCAGGCACGAAAGCGUGGGGAGCAAACAGG
rnacentral:rRNA from 1 species